GAAAUUUCCCCUGAAAUACAAGGCACGUCAUCAUCCAUCUCCCACUUUCCCACCGCGUAAUAAUUGUGAUUCCCCUUCUCACAUCACCAUCUACAUCGCGUUACUGGACUGGCAUCUCCCUCUCUCUUCUACCUCCAAUCUACCACAAUUAAACGUUAACUGUGAUGGAAGAAGAAUGAAGAUACUCGAGAUCUAGAAGAUGGUUGCCAACUAGUCCAACGCUUUUGAUUCGAGGGAAGUUGGAAGGGGAUAAUAUUUUGGAGGCGACGAGAGGUCAGCGAAUCUCCUUGUUUCAUUGGUUCGCUUCCAUGAACAUUGUUAGUCUCUUAUCCUUCUUUAACAAAUCGUUUCUCAAUCUAGGGUUUACCGAGACAUAUACAGAGAGUCAACUUUUCGAGUGGUGGAACGGUUUGAAGUGCGACUCUGCUCUGGUUCUUACAAGAAGGACAUACGAUUUGAUUUAUUGGAUUCUUCAUUUUCCUGCAGUAAUUCAUUUCCCCACAGUAAGUACUUUGUCUGAACCUCUUCAUAUGAACUACGUAACUAUGAAUCCUUGUAUUAUGGUUCAUUACCCUCUCAGUUUUGUUCCAUGUACCAAAUCUGGCAUUGAAUUUUUUCCUAC
rnacentral:lncRNA from 1 species